rnacentral:rRNA from 1 species
AUUGAACGCUGGCGGCAUGCCUUACACAUGCAAGUCGAACGGCAGCACGGGGGCAACCCUGGUGGCGAGUGGCGAACGGGUGAGUAAAGCAUCGGAACGUGCCCUGGAGUGGGGGGAUAACGUAGCGAAAGUUACGCUAAUACCGCAUAUUCUGUGAGCAGGAAAGCAGGGGAUCGCAAGACCUUGCGCUCUGGGAGCGGCCGAUGUCGGAUUAGCUAGUUGGUGGGGUAAAGGCCUACCAAGGCGACGAUCCGUAGCGGGUCUGAGAGGAUGAUCCGCCACACUGGGACUGAGACACGGCCCAGACUCCUACGGGAGGCAGCAGUGGGGAAUUUUGGACAAUGGGCGAAAGCCUGAUCCAGCCAUGCCGCGUGAGUGAAGAAGGCCU